rnacentral:rRNA from 1 species
GGUUGAUCCUGCCAGUUGUCAUAUGCUUCUUUCAAGGACUAAGCCAUGCAAAUGUCAGUGGACCCGAGUGUCUCGAUACUCAGGGGGGACUGUGUACGGCUCAUUAAACGGUUAAUAGUCUACCCAACAGAGAAGGCACUCGUGCCUUCCGACGGGAUAACUGCCCUAACUGGGCGGCUAAUACCUGGACGAAACCUCCUUGACCAUCAAACCACUUUUCCUCAGAGAAAUCUGGGGAGUGGGGUCAAGGAUGCUAUUGGCCGGAACAAAGACCAACGCCCUCAGGAGGGU